UGAAAGGAGAUGCCUUUUAGACUCAUGAGG
rnacentral:piRNA from 1 species